rnacentral:rRNA from 1 species
UACAGAGGUCCCGAGCGUUGUUCGGAUUCAUUGGGCGUAAAGGGUGCGUAGGCGGCGGGGCAAGUCUGUUGUGAAAUCCCGGGGCUCAACCCCGGAACUGCAUUGGAUACUGCCUUGCUAGAGUACUGGAGAGGGAACUGGAAUUUACGGUGUAGCAGUGAAAUGCGUAGAUAUCAGGAGGAACACCAAUUGCGAAGGCAGCUCGCUGGGACGUGACUGACGCUGAGACGCGAAAGCGUGGGGAGCAAACAGG